rnacentral:rRNA from 1 species
AGCCUAAAGAUGAGGUUUCUCAUUGCGAAAGCAAGUAAGGCCCCAUGAAGACGACAUGGUUGAUAGGCCGGGAGUGGAAGUGCAGCAAUGCAUGGAGCGGACCGGUACUAAUAGGCCGAGGACUUAUCUUA